rnacentral:rRNA from 1 species
AGUGAACGCUGGCGGUAGGCCUAACACAUGCAAGUCGAACGGCAGCACAGGAGUGCUUGCUCUCUGGGUGGCGAGUGGCGGACGUGUGAGGAAUACAUCGGAAUCUACUCUGUCGUGGGGGAUAACGUAGGGAAACUUACGCUAAUACCGCGUACGACCUACGGGUGAAAGCAGGGGACCUUCGGGCCUUGCGCGAUUGAAUGAGCCGAUGUCGGAUUAGCUAGUUGGCGGGGUAAAGGCCCACCAAGGCGACGAUCCGUAGCUGGUCUGAGAGGAUGAUCAGCCACACUGGAACUGAGACACGGUCCAGACUCCUACGGGAGGCAGCAGUGGGGAAUAUUGGAUAAUGGGCGCAAGCCUGAUCCAGCCAUACCGCGUGGGUGAAGAAGGCCUUCGGGUUGUAAAGCCCUUUUGUUGGGAAAGAAAUCCAGCUGGCUAAUACCCGGUUGGGAUGACGGUACCCAAAGAAUAAGCACCGGCUAACUUCGUGCCAGCAGCCGCAGUAA